rnacentral:rRNA from 1 species
UACGUAGGGGGCAAGCGUUGUCCGGAUUUAUUGGGCGUAAAGAGCGUGUAGGCGGCCAGACAGGUCCGUUGUGAAAACUCGAGGCUCAACCUCGAGACGCCGAUGGAAACCGUCUGGCUAGAGUCCGGAAGAGGAGAGUGGAAUUCCUGGUGUAGCGGUGAAAUGCGCAGAUAUCAGGAAGAACACCGGUGGCGAAAGCGCUCUGCUAGGCCGCAACUGACACUGAGGGACGAAAGCUAGGGGAGCGAAUGGG